CCCUGUUUAUUUAUUUGUUUAUUUAAUUGAAUGCAAUUUGAAUAAAAUAAAAUAGAUUUUAAAAAGAAAGACAAAAACCUGGAAACUACGGAAGCUCACGUGCUUGAAAUAAGUGGAGCGACUUUCUAAAGCCUCAGAGGAAUUUGUCACCUGGGAGAAAACAGCAGCAGACAAACAAACAAACAUGAUGAAACUCCGUUUCCACUUUCUGUCCUGGCAAACCUAUGGAUAUAAGUGGUAAAGCUGCAAAAAAAGGAGAGAUUGAUAUUUGCUCCACAUGAUGUCAAAAGUCGUAUCUGCAGUGUAGCCGUGUGAUGUGAAGGCAGCAUCCCGUCCACAGGCAGGAAGUGAAGAAUAUUCUGUGAAGAGAACGAGUCUGGAACCCGUGGAGCUAAUUCUGUUGAGAUGGAUGUUGCAAGAGACGCAUCACGUAUUGGGCAACAUUCAACAAUGGAGGCUUCUUCAGAUCUGAUGAAACAUGUAACAAGGUAGCCGAAAAACCACCGUAGGUUUCUUUUUGAUCAGGAGGUGUGUGGAGACAAAGGACCCGGGACAACUGUUUUUUGUAAAAGAGGACAGUUUACUUUGUUCAGCAGGGAAAGCAGUCUUCAGUCUGUGUUGGAGCCUCUGUUACAGAGAUAAAAAAAAAACACCAAGAGUUUUGAGCUAAAAUGUCAGGCUACAUAGAACCAUAAAAAUACACAAUAAAUAAAACAAAAAGGAUGCAAUUAAAAAGUACCUCGGACAACUAAAAGACUAUCUCCUGGGUUUAUAUAAAACAACAGAAUAAAA